rnacentral:rRNA from 1 species
UACGUAGGAUGCAAGCGUUGUCCGGAAUUAUUGGGCGUAAAGAGCUCGUAGGCGGCUCGUCGCGUCGGCUGUGAAAACCUGGGGCUCAACCCCGGGCCUGCAGCCGAUACGGGCGAGCUAGAAUUCGGUAGGGGAGACUGGAAUUCCUGGUGUAGCGGUGAAACGCGCAGAUAUCAGGAGGAACACCGGUGGCGAAGGCGGGUCUCUGGGCCGAUAUUGACGCUGAGGAGCGAAAGCGUGGGGAGCGAACAGG